rnacentral:tRNA from 1 species
AGAAAUUUGGCUUACUAGACGAAGAUUUGGAAACCCUGGUGGCAUUUGGCUGCUAACCAAAGGGUCGGCAGUUCGAAUCCGCCAGGUGCUC